UUUGACAGGUUAUCUUCAGCCGAAGCCGGCGCUUUCCUCGCCUGAAAACACACUCAGUCGAUUUCUUCAAGGGUCGCAAACAGCGUUCGCCGCGAAGCCCACGCCGUGACUGCGGCGAUCAUCAGGGUCUGGGCGGCAAGCGCGAGAUAACCCGAGGCCGGCAGCGCGAACGUCCCCAAUAGCGCCGCGAACUGAUCGCCCACCG
rnacentral:misc_RNA from 1 species